GUGACCUUCCCUUCCCUGUGCCUGAUUGGCCUCCGCUUGUGCCUCUCCUCCAAAAGCCUGCUGUCAGUUCUCUGCACUGCCCUGGGUUUGGUAGCAUCAAUGGCGUUGAGGACUGCUUCAAUGAAUAUGAGGACCAAGCUAUUGCCCAUGUUCUCUGCAACUUCUUUGUUGCAUUCACACGCCACCAGCUUUGGUGGCAUGGAACUGACAAAGGAGGAAAAUUUCAGACUUGAAGGACCAAUUCCACCACCACGGCACCCAAACUGAAAGCAAACUCCUUUUGCCGUUUCUAGAAAAGCUGGCAAGCAAAAAAAUGGUUAAUUUCCUAUCUUCAAACUGAUUUACAAAUUUCCUUUCACAAGAAAAAAAUGGAGAAAAUUAACACAAGGAGAAGAUCAGUUGACAUGUGGCGGUUUUCGAAGCUCUUGCGGAUCUGACUUCAAGCCUGUUGUUGAAGGCUAUGCCGUUAAAGGGUUAGGUUUUGUUUUUUUGGUUAUUGGAUUUACACAUUCAAUGGUGAGAAUCAACAUAUACAAAUUCAAUGAUUUACUAGACUGGAAAAUCAUUAACAACAUUUUUAUGUUAAACCCCUUUCCUCUUUUA